rnacentral:rRNA from 1 species
AUUGAACGCUGGCGGCAGGCCUAACACAUGCAAGUCGAGCGGUAGAGAGGUGCUUGCAUCUCUUGAGAGCGGCGGACGGGUGAGUAAUGCCUAGGAAUCUGCCUAGUGGUGGGGGAUAACGUUCGGAAACGGACGCUAAUACCGCAUACGUCCUACGGGAGAAAGCGGGGGAUCUUCGGACCUCGCGCCAUUAGAUGAGCCUAGGUCGGAUUAGCUAGUUGGUGAGGUAAUGGCUCACCAAGGCGACGAUCCGUAACUGGUCUGAGAGGAUGAUCAGUCACACUGGAACUGAGACACGGUCCAGACUCCUACGGGAGGCAGCAGUGGGGAAUAUUGGACAAUGGGCGAAAGCCUGAUCCAGCCAUGCCGCGUGUGUGAAGAAGGUCUUCGGAUUGUAAAGCACUUUAAGUUGGGAGGAAGGGUAGUAACCUAAUACGUUGCUACUUUGACGUUACCGUACAGAAUAAG